rnacentral:snoRNA from 1 species
UUUUGUGAUGAUCAACUUUUAAUUAAUAACUUUCGUUCUACUGAGUGCCGAUCAAACGAUCUUGUAGAAAUCCUAAUAUUCUGAUA